rnacentral:rRNA from 1 species
GAUGUGAUGGGGAGCGAAAUUUAGUAGCGAAGUAGCUGAUCUCACACUGUCAAGAAAAGUCUCCAUCGAGGUUAAAGGUAUCCGUACCGCAAACCGACACAGGUGGGUGAGGAGAGUAUCCUAAGGCUAGCGAGAGAACUGUUGUUAAGGAACUCGGCAAAAUGACCCCGUAACUGAGGGAUCAGCGGUGCCACCAUCAGGUGGCCGCAGAGAAUAGGCCCAAGCGACUGUUUACCAAAAACAUAGUUCUGCU